UUCUGCAGCACUCUCUCCCUCUCCAUAAUUUAUGGCGAAGAUGGAGGUGACGACUCACCCAUCUUCUCCCCUUUUCUCUUUUUCUCCGGUAACACCAAACCUUAUUUUCUACUCUUUCUCGCUCGGCAUUCCAGCAGUGGUAGUGAAACCGACGACAAUAUAAGCGAUCAUGAUAGUGGCAGAGUUAGGUGGAAAAAGCGGCCACUACGGCAAAACUUCGAUUGUGCAAUGGCUGGAUUUAAGGAGAAUUAUCCAGAUGUAAUUUGCCCCCUACAAAAACACAUGUUGCUGAUUGCAAUUUAUAUGGAAGUUUCGGACUCCGUGAUUCGACAACAUUGUUGCUGACAUUAAAACACCAUCAGCAGAAGGCUAAUUAAAAUUCACCUCAAGGAUACCAACUACCAAGUUGGGUAGAGAGCGUUACAACUAUCGGGUGGUAAAAAACAGCGAAUAGCAAGAGCAUUGUUAAAGAACCCUUCAAUCUUGCUUUAGAUUCAAGAAUCCGAAAAAUUAGUACAAGGGGCAUUAGACAAGUUUAUGAUCGCUGUAUGAUCUAAGACGUACCGUUUUAUCGAAAGAGAGGCGGUUGGCAUUGUUUAGAUAUAAUUUGAAUCCAAAAAUGAUCGAAAAGGGUAUAUUUAUAUGCUAAGUUAAUUUAGUAAUCUUGUUUUUUUUUUUUUUUUGCAAUAGUUAAAAGAGAUGGUGCUAGCACUCUUACACGAAUCAGAUUUGGUCGGAUAAAUGGGGAGACACAUCUAAUUACACAGGUUAUUUCAAUGGAAAGAAUGACAUAUAUGCUUUUGGAGUGGUGUUACUGGAAACACUUAUGGGCCUACGGGUUUUUGAUAAAACGCGGCCAAAAAAUGAGCAAGAUCUUGUGCAAUGGGCGAGGCCGAUGCUACCCAAGAAAAAGAAGCUAAUGAAUUUAAUAGACCCCAGUCUUGGUGAUGACUACCCACCAACCGAUCGAUUUUUUUCAAAGAAUGAAGAAUUAUACGCUUGGUUUUUUGUGGCUGUGUGUUUUCUGGAAGUUCGAUUUCCCUCUGUUUAUGGUUCUCGUGAUAGCCGUCCUCGACGAUGGUACGAUCAUGACAAUAUCGAAAGAUAGAGUAAAGCCAUCUCCGAUUCCCGACAGCUGGAAGCUCACGGAAAUCUUUGCGACCGGGGUGGUUCUCGGUGCUUACCUGGCAUUAAUGACAGUUAUUUUCUUCUGGUUGGCAUAUGAAAACUAACUUUUUCCCGUGGGUUAAGCUUGACAAGAAAUUGGAAAUAGCUCUCCUCCAUUCAUAUCGCAAGGUUCUUAAAGAACAAAUUUCUAAAUGGUAUUAUCUUAGCUGAUCUAUGUCGGAACAAUUUGUUUAAUGCAACCUCUAAACUUCUACUAUAAGUUCCUGAGUAAAUACAUUGAUGGUAAAGGCUUAUUGGGGAUGAAGCGUUGUUUAGGUGACAAUCGAGUUGCGAUUCCAAUUCUC
rnacentral:lncRNA from 1 species